GCCCGGAUAGCUCAGUCUGUCGAGCGUUAGGCUUUUAACCUAAAGGUCCAGGGUUCGAGUCCCUUCUCGGACA
rnacentral:tRNA from 1 species